rnacentral:rRNA from 1 species
UGGGGAAUAUUGCACAAUGGGCGGAAGCCUGAUGCAGCGACGCCGCGUGAGGGAUGACGGCCUUCGGGUUGUAAACCUCUUUCAGUAGGGACGAAGCGUAAGUGACGGUACCUGCAGAAGAAGCACCGGCUAACUACGUGCCAGCAGCCGCGGUAAUACGUAGGGUGCGAGCGUUGUCCGGAAUUACUUGGCGUAAAGAGCUCGUAGGCGGUUUGUCACGUCGUCUGUGAAAUCCUAGGGCUUAACCCUGGACGUGCAGGCGAUACGGGCUGACUUGAGUACUACAGGGGAGACUGGAAUUUCUGGUGUAGCGGUGGAAUGCACAGAUAUCAGGAAGAACACCGAUGGCGAAGGCAGGUCUCUGGGUAGUAACUGACGCUGAGGAGCGAAAGCAUGGGUAGCGAACAGG